AGUCCAGAACCACUUGGCACAGCAAGCAUCCCCAUCUCUGCUUAGAUGUAAACAGACCAAGCUUCUCUCUAUCCUACCCCCUUGCUUUUUAUUUUGCAGUGGUUGGAAUAAUGCUCCCAGAAGUCUGCUAUGAUGGAGGGUUACCUAGGUCCUGAAGAAUACCUGCUAUCUUCAUUUGCCACCUCCGUUUGUACCUGAUGCCCAGAGGAAGUUUGGAGAAACAUGAAUGUGGAAGGAUACAGAGUAGAAUCAUAAACAACACAUGCUACAGAUGGAACAUUUUUCCCUAGAAUUUUUCAGCAGCCUGAGAAACAAUAUGAUCAUUUCACUCCUGCUACCCAGUAAGAGGCAGUCCUGGAAGGUUCCAGAGAAGGUGCUGCUGGCUCCCUACGUAGAAACUGCAGCUGAUUUGUGUUUUGGGGACAGAAUCUUAACACCUUUCUGAAGCCGCCGUGUGGUUUUCUUAGCUGUGAACACAUGAUGCUCAGACACUUCAUUUAAUCAGGACUCGUUGUUCUAGGACACCACCUACAUUUCCACAUGUGACUUUACGGCAUGCCUUAUUUCCUUCUGAUUGAAUUGAAUCAUCAAUGUGCUCCCAGAGACCUCUCAACAUUGCCUUGGUUUCAGAACCCAUGCGAAGAGCAUUUGUUUCUUGUUCAGACAAUUCGUGAUUUCCUUCAUUGCUUUUAUAGUAAAACUUUGAUCUCAAACACUGUGCAUUAUAUGAGUUCUUUUUCUAGAAAAAUAAUGGUGUGAAGACCCUUUCCAUAGAUGUUACUCCAGGGCAGGAUAUAUUGUCAUAGACCAUGACAAUGCCAUCCCAUGGGGACAAGUUAUAACGACUUACAUUGGUGUAAUUUGAAUCAUUUUCAAAUUUAUUCAAAUGGCAAAAAUUCUUUUUAAGAUGACACAAAAUUCAACUCAACAUCCCAAGUUGGUGCCAAUGUGCAAGGCUCCGCUUGAUAGUUUUCUGUAAGUGAAAAUAUUUAUAACUACUCAUAGCUUACUGCCCCAAGUUACAAGAAAUGAUAUCUUCCUUGGGGUUUCUCAUCACUGUGGUCUCUGAUUUCUCAGUUCAGAGAAGCUGCUGGCCUGUGCGGAGGGAAGAUUGCGCUGAGGAGUUUAUAGUGAUGCCUGCUUCUGGUUCCCACAUCAACUCUGGGGUGUUGGAGCAUGACCAAACACAUUUUCCUGCUAUAUUUCUUGUUAUAAAGAAGUAUCCUGUUCAGAGAUCUGCUCUGAUGGGCACUAUUAUUUUUAUUUACAUGUGGAAUGAGAAUCUACUAAAAUGAAGGUCCAGCAAGAUGCAUAUGGUAUCAGUAAAAAUGUAGAUCUGGACUACAUUCAUUUUAAAAUUGGACUGGAUGUUUUCUUUAUGGACUGGCCUGGAAUGUGCUGUAUUAAAUCACUCAUUUCUAAAA